UGUCUCUCAUCCACCUAUCAGGUGUCUCUCAUCCAUCUAAUCAGGUGCCACUCAUUCAUCUAAUCAGGUGUCUCUCAUCCAUCUAAUCAGGUGCAACACAUCAAUCUUAGCAGUUGUCUCUCAUCCAUCUAAUCAGGUGUCUCUCAUCCAUCUAUUAGGUGUCUCUCAUCCAUCUAAUCAGGUGCCACUCAUUCAUCU